AUUUUACCACAAUGACACCUACAGAACUGUGGAAGCUGUAGCUUGUCCCAAAACUGCACAGUCAGUAAUGGCAAGGGGACCAGGCGUGUAGUGUAGCUGCCAAAAUGCCGCAACAGACAGCAGGCUAUGCGUGUUCACAGCUGCUGUGAGGCAGGCUUUUCCAAUUACAAACCCAGUUCCAGCUGAUCUGCCGGGCAAGCUUUCUUCCUUUAGGUGUAAAGGAAAAGGAGGAAGGGGAAUGUAAAGAAGGCGUAAUGCUCUGCUGCCUCAUGGAGCACACCUCCUACAGAGUCCUAAUCUCCAAGGACAAAAGCUGAGAGCAUCAAGCCAGGUCAAGCUAAGAUGCUUGGCAGUCCUCCUCCAUCAGCCAUCAGA